UUGAGGACGGGGAUAGCCGUUAGAAAUAGCGGAUAAUACCGGAUAACGCUCAUCAUUGUUAGAGGGUGGUGAGGAAAGGGGUAACGGCCCCGCCUUAAGAGUGGCCCGCGGCCCAUUAUGCUCGUUGGUGCGGUAACGGCGCACCAAGGCUUUGAUGGGUAUCCGGCCUAAGAGGGUGAACGGACACAUUGGGACUGAGAUACGGCCCAGACUCCUACGGGAGGCAGCAGCUAAGAAUAUUCCGCAAUGGACGAAAGUCUGACGGAGCGNCGCCGCGUGGAUGACGAAGGCCGAAAGGUUGUAAAANCCUUUUGCUGCUGAAGAAUAAGCAGGGGAGGGAAUGCCCGUGCGAUGGCGUUAGGCAGCGA
rnacentral:rRNA from 1 species